GUGCAGUGGGGGUGGGUCUCUGGCCAUGGCAGAUGCUGGAGGGGGGUGGCAGGAGGCUCCAGUGGCAAAGCUUGGGGGGGGAAGGGGGGUUCAGUGUCGG